UAAUUUUGAAUUUGCCACUACUAGUGAUACUCAGAUAGAAUCAGAAUCAGAAAGUGUUAACUAUUUUAAAAGAUUAAAACUUAAGUUAAAAACUUAAUUCAAGUAUUAUUAGUUUUAUUUUGAUAUUAUUUAUUAUAGGAACCACUACCGUUCUUAUGCAAGAGAAAAUAUAAUCCAACCAAAAAUAACCAACAGAAUAGUAAGCAAGUAAUUAGUUCUAUAACGCAAAAAAAGAAAAAGAAAACAACUUUUAUGCAUACUCCGCAUACUAUAGUUCAAGUAUUAGGAUCAGCAAUGGCAAGAUUUUCCUGAGGAAAGAGAGUAUUUUAAUAUAGUGCAAAGCCAAGGUCGCGUGUGUGUUUUUCCACAGAAAAGAAAAAAGUUGUUUUACCAGUGACGCCUGCAUUUGUUUCCCUUAUAAGAAAAGCUACUAAAAAAGAUUCCUUAUCAAAUGGAAAGUCUCCCAUUAUUGAGGAAGAAUUUCAGAAGAAAGUUUUAAAUCCACUGGUAGAAAUGAAAGAGAUGUUGGUAAAGCUCUUUCCAGUAAUUAAAAUAAUAUCACAAAAAAUAAUCCUGAUAUUUUAUGGAUGAAUUCACAGCAGUCGUUUAGUAAUUAUGAUGACAGUUUUAAUGAUUUUUGGGGAUUAUGAUAACAGUUUAAAGGGGUGAUGUCUGAAGUGGUUCAAUUUUCAGACAUAAUCUUAUGGCAAAAGAAUCGUUUAUCUUUUUCCAUUUUACUAAUUUGGUUCAGAGGUUUAAAUAAAUGGGUGACUAAGAUUUUUUUUCUGCCCCCUGUAUGGAGAGCUUAAUCAUAAUUAUUUUUGUUCUUCCUGUUGAUUACCAACAAGUAGAACAAAAAAAAUUAACUCAAUAAUUUAAAGG